rnacentral:lncRNA from 1 species
CGCUGGCUGACUACUACUGGGUAUUAUUUUUGAUAUGUGUACUUGUCUCAUUCAACUGAAAGUAACAUUACACCAAUCACUUGACCCUUCUACUCAGCUAAAACAAAACACACAGAAAAGAAGGGACAGCUUUUGGGUUGAAUUUCUCAAUAAGUGCAAGGGAUACCAGGUAACCAGAAUAAAGCUACUUUGUAACCGUUACCUCUAACAUUACAAUAGCUAAAUGUUGAUAGCAAAAAAGGAGAAAUAGGAAUGAAAGCAUCUGCCAUUACUGCAAUUUGUAUUAGCUAUCCUGUUCACUUGUGUGACCCACCUCUUCUAAGGGGAAGCUACGGUAUUUUAUCAGUAAUCCUAGUCAAUCAGCUGAAAUAGGCAUUAAACAGAAACAGAAUUUGAAAAACCAUCCCUGUGUAUUUAGCAAAUAUGCAUCUUAAAUUUAGGGCCCAAAUGCUCACAGAUUUCCACUAGUGCCAUAUGGAAAAAACUAACACACUAAUGCCAAAGGGAACUAUUUUGUUCAAUGCUUUGUUUGGAUUUUGGGGGUUUGGUUCCAUAACCAUCCUGGUGACAUUCCUUUGAAAAUGGUUUAACAGAAAAUAUUCUACUAUACAUUGCUCAGUACUGAAGGAAAGGGGACAGUGCA